CCAACCAUAGCUCAGUUGGUAGAGCGGAGGAUUGUAGCUUAAUCCUUAGGUCACUGGUUCGAAUCCGGUAGGUCGGA